rnacentral:rRNA from 1 species
ACUCCUACGGGAGGCAGCAGUGGGGAAUAUUGCACAAUGGGCGCAAGCCUGAUGCAGCCAUGCCGCGUGUAUGAAGAAGGCCUUCGGGUUGUAAAGUACUUUCAGCAGUGAGGAAGGUGGAGUCGUUAAUAGCGGCCUCAUUUGACGUUAGCUGCAGAAGAAGCACCGGCUAACUCCGUGCCAGCAGCCGCGGUAAUACGGAGGGUGCGAGCGUUAAUCGGAAUUACUGGGCGUAAAGCGCAUGCAGGUGGUUUGUUAAGUCAGAUGUGAAAGCCCGGGGCUCAACCUCGGAAUUGCAUUUGAAACUGGCAGACUAGAGUACUGUAGAGGGGGGUAGAAUUUCAGGUGUAGCGGUGAAAUGCGUAGAGAUCUGAAGGAAUACGGUGGCGAAGGCGCCCCUGGACAGAUACUGACACUCAGAUGCG